AGACCCGAAACCCGGUGAUCUAGCCAUGGGCAGGUUGAAGGUUGGGUAACACUAACUGGAGGACCGAACCGACUAAUGUUGAAAAAUUAGCGGAUGACCUGUGGCUGGGGGUGAAAGGCCAAUCAAACCGGGAGAUAGCUGGUUCUCCCCGAAAGCUAUUUAGGUAGCGCCUCGUGAAUUCAUCUCCGGGGGUAGAGCACUGUUUCGGCUAGGGGGCCAUCCCGGCUUACCAACCCGAUGCAAACUGCGAAUACCGGAGAAUGUUAUCACGGGAGACACACGGCGGGUGCUAACGUCCGUCGUGAAGAGGGAAACAACCCAGACCGCCAGCUAAGGUCCCAAAGUCAUGGUUAAGUGGGAAACGAUGUGGGAAGGCCCAGACAGCCAGGAUGUUGGCUUAGAAGCAGCCAUCAUUUAAAGAAAGCGUAAUAGCUCACUGGUCGAGUCGGCCUGCGCGGAAGAUGUAACGGGGCUAAACCAUGCACCGAAGCUGCGGCAGCGACACUGUGUGUUGUUGGGUAGGGGAGCGUUCUGUAAGCCUGUGAAGGUGUGUCGUGAGGCAUGCUGGAGGUAUCAGAAGUGCGAAUGCUGACAUAAGUAACGAUAAAGCGGGUGAAAAGCCCGCUCGCCGGAAGACCAAGGG
rnacentral:rRNA from 1 species